GACGAACGCUGGCGGCGUGCUUAACACAUGCAAGUCGAACGGAAAGGCCCUGCUUUUGUGGGGUGCUCGAGUGGCGAACGGGUGAGUAACACGUGAGUAACCUGCCCUUGACUUUGGGAUAACUUCAGGAAACUGGGGCUAAUACCGGAUAGGAGCUCCUGCUGCAUGGUGGGGGUUGGAAAGUUUCGGCGGUUGGGGAUGGACUCGCGGCUUAUCAGCUUGUUGGUGGGGUAGUGGCUUACCAAGGCUUUGACGGGUAGCCGGCCUGAGAGGGUGACCGGCCACCUUGGGACUGAGAUACGGCCCAGACUCCUACGGGAGGCAGCAGUGGGGAAUAUUGCACAAUGGGCGGAAGCCUGAUGCAGCAACGCCGCGUGCGGGAUGACGGCCUUCGGGUUGUAAACCGCUUUCGCCUGUGACGAAGCGUGAGCGACGGUAAUGGGUAAAGAAGCACCGGCUAACUACGUG
rnacentral:rRNA from 1 species